GCGGCUUUAGCUCACUUGGGAGAGCGCCAGACUGAAGUCCACUUCUGUUUCUAUUCGAGCAUCAUGCGAUGUCGAGUUUAUCUGGAGGCACUGUGUUCGAUCCACAGAAGCCGCA
rnacentral:tRNA from 1 species